UACGGAGGAUGCAAGCGUUAUCCGGAUUCAUUGGGUUUAAAGGGUGCGUAGGCGGGCUAUUAAGUCAGUGGUGAAAUCCUGCAGCUUAACUGCAGAACUGCCGUUGAUACUGAUAGUCUUGAGUUUGGUUAAGGUAGGCGGAAUGUGUAAUGUAGCGGUGAAAUGCUUAGAUAUUACACAGAACACCAAUUGCGUAGGCAGCUUACUGAGCCGACACUGACGCUGAGGCACGAAAGCGUGGGGAGUCAAACA
rnacentral:rRNA from 1 species